GCUCCACUGUGUCUUCCAUCUGAUUUCUUCGUGAGAAAUACAAAGUCCUGAGAAUCAUGAGUUGUUGUUUCUGUCACCAGUAGAAGGGCAUUUCACCCCUUACACUGACUUAACAGGGAAAAAUGAGAGCCUGAUAAAAUUGUUAGCAAGCAAGGACACAAUAAAAAGGACAGAAGAAGCUGAUGAACCAGAGAGUUUGGCUGGAGAAUGAAUGCCUGAUCUGAGCCUUAUCUUCAGUGUGGCCAGUGAAUCAACCCCUCCUAGAGAAUACAGAAAACCCUCCUUCUGUCUUUUAUACCCCUCUAGUGCUGGGAUUAAACACAUGUGAUCUGU